rnacentral:rRNA from 1 species
UACGUAGGGUGCGAGCGUUAAUCGGAAUUACUGGGCGUAAAGAGUGCGUAGGCGGUUUCUCAAGUCCGCUGUGAAAUCCCCGGGCUCAACCUGGGAAUGGCAGUGGAUACUGGCAAGCUAGAGUGCGGUAGAGGGUAGUGGAAUUCCCGGUGUAGCGGUGAAAUGCGUAGAGAUCGGGAGGAACACCAGUGGCGAAGGCGGCUACCUGGACCAGCACUGACACUGAGGCACGAAAGCGUGGGGAGCAAACAGG